UGCAGCCAGCAGGACCUGGCCAUGCUGCCCUGGGUACAGGAGUUCAACAAGUUCGACCUCUACACCAAGUGCCCAGACCUGCCGGACGUGGACAAGCUGCGGCCCUACUACCAGGGGCUCAUUGACAAGUACUGCCCUAAAAAAAAAAGCUGGUGACCCUCCUGCCACCCAAGGUGCUGCUGGACCCAGGCCUGGCCCUAAAAAAAAAAGGAGAGAUCUGGCCCUGGGCAGACAGCCGCCAUCAGGGUUCACCUUGGUGGGGGACCCCACUCACCCCCUUAGGGUCGCCACCCCUCGUGGCAACUUGUGCCUGGCGGCAAUAAAAAAAAAAAAGGACAUUGUGCUUCUG